UGAUGCCGCGUGAGUGAAGAAGGCCUUUGGGUUGUAAAGCUCUUUUGUAGGGGAAGAUAAUGACUGUACCCUAAGAAUAAGGUCCGGCUAACUUCGUGCCAGCAGCCGCGGUAAUACGAAGGGACCUAGCGUAGUUCGGAAUUACUGGGCGUAAAGCGCGCGUAGGCCGUUGAGUUAGUUAAUUGUGAAAUCCCAAAGCUUAACUUUGGAACUGCAAUUAAAACUGCUCGACUAGAGUUUGAUAGAGGAAAGCGGAAUACAUAGUGUAGAGGUGAAAUUCGUAGAUAUUAUGUAGAACACCAGUUGCGAAGGCGGCUUUCUGGGUCAACACUGACGCUGAGGCGCGAAAGUAUGGGUAGCAAAGAGGAUUAGAUACCCUCGUAGUCCAUACCAUAAACGAUGAUUGCUAGAUGUUGGAAAUUUAUUUUCAGUAUCGCAGCUAACGCAUUAAGCAAUCCGCCUGGGGAGUACGACCGCAAGGUUAAAACUCAAAUGAAUUGACGGGGACCCGCACAAGCGGUGGAGCAUGUGGUUUAAUUCGAAGAUACGCGCAGAACCUUACCAACCCUUGACAUGUCUGUCGCGAGUUUAGGAAACUAGACUUUUCGGUUCGGCCGGACAGAACACAGGUGCUGCAUGGCUGUCGUCAGCUCGUGUCGUGAGA
rnacentral:rRNA from 1 species